AUUGAACGCUGGCGGCAGGCCUAACACAUGCAAGUCGAACGAGUGGCGGACGGGUGAGUCAUGUCUGGGAAACUGCCUGAUGGAGGGGGAUAACUACUGGAAACGGUAGCUAAUCCCGCAUACCAUCAGAUGUGCCCAGCUGGGAUUAGCUAGUUGGUGGGGUAACGGCUCCCCAAGGCGACGAUCCCUAGCUGGUCUGAGAGGAUGCCCAGCCACACUGGAACGGAGACACGCUCCAGACUCCUAAGUGAGGCAGCAUGGGGGAAUAUUGCACAAUGGGCGCAAGCCUGAUGCAGCCAUUCCGCGUGUAUGAAGAAGGCCUUCGGGUUGUAAAGUACUUUCAGCGGGUAGGCGUUACCCGCAGAAGAAGCACCGGCUAACUCCGUGCCAGCAGCCGCGGUAAUAC
rnacentral:rRNA from 1 species